GACGAACGCUGGCGGCGUGCUUAACACAUGCAAGUCGAACGGAAAGGCCCUGCUUUUGUGGGGUGCUCGAGUGGCGAACGGGUGGGUAACACGUGAGUAACCUGCCCUUGACUUUGGGAUAACUUCAGGAAACUGGGGCUAAUACCGGAUAGGAGCUCCUGCUGCAUGGUGGGGGUUGGAAAGUUUCGGCGGUUGGGGAUGGACUCGCGGCUUAUCAGCUUGUUGGUGGGGUAGUGGCUUACCAAGGCUUUGACGGGUAGCCGGCCUGAGAGGGUGACCGGCCACAUUGGGACUGAGAUACGGCCCAGACUCCUACGGGAGGCAGCAGUGGGGAAUAUUGCACAAUGGGCGGAAGCCUGAUGCAGCAACGCCGCGUGCGGGAUGACGGCCUUCGGGUUGUAAACCGCUUUCGCCUGCGACGAAGCGUGAGUGACGGUAAUGGGUAAAGAAGCACCGGCCAACUACGUG
rnacentral:rRNA from 1 species